GCAGUCGUGACCGAGUAAUUAAGGCGAUGCACUAGAAAUCCAUUGGGGUCUCCCCGCACAGGUUCGAGUCCUGUCGACUGCG
rnacentral:tRNA from 1 species